UUUUAGGCCCGGUUGGACGGUCUGCCUUUGGGUUUGUACUGUCCUGACUGGGCCUUACCUUCUGGUGAGCUGUCGUGUUGUUUACUCAGCGCGGCAGGGAACCAGGACUUUUACUUUGAAAAAAUUAGAGUGUUUAAAGCAGGCAUUCGCUUGAAUACAUUAGCAUGGAAUAAUAGAAUAGGACUUUGGUUCUAUUUUGUUGGUUUCUAGGACCGAAGUAAUGAUUAAUAGGGAUAGUUGGGGGCAUUAGUAUUUAAUUGUCAGAGGUGAAAUUCUUGGAUUUAUGAAAGACUAACUUCUGCGAAAGCAUUUGCCAAGGAUGUUUUCAUUAAUCAAGAACGAAAGUUAGGGGAUCGAAGACGAUCAGAUACCGUCGUAGUCUUAACCAUAAACUAUGCCGACUAGGGAUCAGACAAGGAUAUUUUGACUUGUUUGGCACCUUAUGAGAAAUCAAAGUUUUUGGGUUCCGGGGGGAGUAUGGUCGCAA
rnacentral:rRNA from 1 species